rfam:Thermoactinomyces sp. DSM 45891 genome assembly, contig: Ga0066384_103
AGAACCUUUAAAUCCAGUCCAGAGAGGCUGGCAAGGGCACGGAUAUAAAUAGGUGGCGUUUGCCCACUUGUGCUUCUUGUCUAGCUGGGACAAGAAGCAUUUUUUUU